rnacentral:rRNA from 1 species
AUUAUUUUUUAGAUUAUUUUUUAUUGUUGAAAAAAUUAAAAACAAAUUGUUUUUUACAAUAAUUAAAAUUUAUAAUAUUUCAAUUUUUAAUUUUUAGUUUUAAAUAAAAAUUACAAAUAUGAAAAAUAAAAAAAUUUUGUUAUAAAUUAAAUUAAUUUAUUUAUAUUAAAAAUAUUUUUUAUAAUUUUUAUUUUUUUAUUUUUUUAAAAAAAAAAUAAUUUAAUUAUAAUUAUUAAUUUAAAUUUAAUAAUUAAAUAUAAAAUUUUUUAUUAAAUAAAUUUAGUAAUAAAUGUUUUUUAAAUUCUUUGAGGUUUUGAUUUUUGAUUUUUUGUUUCUGCUCAUUGUUAAAGAAAAGCACUUUUAGCGUGAUUGGUCAAAGGUA